rnacentral:rRNA from 2 species
GGUUUCGGCUGUCACUUACAGAUGGACCCGCGGCGCAUUAGCUAGUUGGUGGGGUAAUGGCUCACCAAGGCGACGAUGCGUAGCCGACCUGAGAGGGUGAUCGGCCACACUGGGACUGAGACACGGCCCAGACUCCUACGGGAGGCAGCAGUAGGGAAUCUUCCGCAAUGGACGAAAGUCUGACGGAGCAACGCCGCGUGAGUGAUGAAGGUUUUCGGAUCGUAAAGCUCUGUUGUUAGGGAAGAACAAGUGCGAGAGUAACUGCUCGCACCUUGACGGUACCUAACCAGAAAGCCACGGCUAACUACGUGCCAGCAGCCGCGGUAAUACGUAGGUGGCAAGCGUUGUCCGGAAUUAUUGGGCGUAAAGGGCUCGCAGGCGGUUUCUUAAGUCUGAUGUGAAAGCCCCCGGCUCAACCGGGGAGGGUCAUUGGAAACUGGGAAACUUGAGUGCAGAAGAGGAGAGUGGAAUUCCACGUGUAGCGGUGAAAUGCGUAGAGAUGUGGAGGAACACCAGUGGCGAAGGCGACUCUCUGGUCUGUAACUGACGCUGAGGAGCGAAAGCGUGGGGAGCGAACAGGAUUAGAUACCCUGGUAGUCCACGCCGUAAACGAUGAGUGCUAAGUGUUAGGGGGUUUCCGCCCCUUAGUGCUGCAGCUAACGCAUUAAGCACUCCGCCUGGGGAGUACGGUCGCAAGACUGAAACUCAAAGGAAUUGACGGGGGCCCGCACAAGCGGUGGAGCAUGUGGUUUAAUUCGAAGCAACGCGAAGAACCUUACCAGGUCUUGACAUCCUCUGACAACCCUAGAGAUAGGGCUUUCCCUUCGGGGACAGAGUGACAGGUGGUGCAUGGUUGUCGUCAGCUCGUGUCGUGAGAUGUUGGGUUAAGUCCCGCAACGAGCGCAACCCUUGAUCUUAGUUGCCAGCAUUCAGUUGGGCACUCUAAGGUGACUGCCGGUGACAAACCGGAGGAAGGUGGGGAUGACGUCAAAUCAUCAUGCCCCUUAUGACCUGGGCUACACACGUGCUACAAUGGACAGAACAAAGGGCUGCAAGACCGCAAGGUUUAGCCAAUCCCAUAAAUCUGUUCUCAGUUCGGAUCGCAGUCUGCAACUCGACUGCGUGAAGCUGGAAUCGCUAGUAAUCGCGGAUCAGCAUGCCGCGGUGAAUA